UGCAGCAGAAAAUAUGAAUUUUAGACUGUAAUAAAAGUAGAACUUUGAUAGCAGCAGGGUGGUGAAGCUCCAUAGAGAAUGAACAGAGAGAGAGAGGGAGUGUCAGCCAGUCAGACAGGUUUGGGCGAGGUGGACGAGUUAGCUUCACUCACAUUCUGAAGGCAGGAGAGAGAGGCAGAAACAUUUGUUGUUCCGUCACCUCUACUUUAUCUCUACUGCAGAUCAGAAGAAACAAAGAAAUACUGCAGCAGAAGCAGAAAGCUGGAUUUCUGUGAAGAACCAGGAGAUUCCAGAAGAAGAAGAAGCAGCAGGUGGAGGUUUGAACAGUUCUUCAGAGCUCACUCGCCCCGGCUGAUUGGUCAGCUUUAGCCUCGCCCUCUUGUGACUCAUCACCAUGUCAUCAAACAUCAACGUCUCCCUGGACAACCCAUAUGGUGAGGUCACCAUCCCUCGGGCGAAGCUCCGCCCCUCUGAUGACAGCACGGUGAUAGCCAAUCCAAUGGCUCUGAGCAGCACAAAUGAGAACCCGUACGCCGUGUCAAGCUCCGCCCCUCCGCCAUAUAUGGUCAAGGAAGACGGAGGUGGGGAGGAGGAGGGAGGGCGAUGCCGUGCCUGCUGCUACCGCUGCAGGAGGAAGUGAUGUCACCGCUGCUUCUGGUGAUGACACUGCGCCAGGAGGACUGUGACUGGUUCAGAUUUAUCAUGUACUCCCAUUAAGGUAACUAUGAAGAAAGAGAGGAAACAAGGAAACAGCUGAGGAGGUGAAAAAGAGAAGGAAGGAAGGAAAGAAGGAAGGAAGGAAGGAAGGAAGGAAGGCAAGAAAGAAAGAAGGAAGGAUGGAAAGAUGGAAGGAAGGAAGGAAGGAAGGGAGGAAGGGAGGAUGCAUGGAGGAAGUUGUUUGCUUGGUGGCCAUCUUGUGAAUAAAUGUGUAUAAAUAUUUGAUGUUUAUGUAGUUUCAGUAUAUUUAGUGUUUAGUCGAAUAAUGAUGAUUAUUAUUAUUAUUAUUGUUUUUAUUAUUAUUUAGUAUAUUUAGUGUUUAUUUAGUUUAAGAGAGAAUUUGAAUCAAAAAUCGCUGAAGUCCAGCAGAGCAGCUGAAAGCUCAGGAACCACCAGUCAUUUUACCUGGAAACCUGGUGGUAGGGCCCCCUGGAGGACCCUGGAGGCUCUUGGAGGCCGUCCUGGGGUUUUCAGAUAUAUAGACAUAAAAAUAUGAAAACGGAUAAAACCAGAAACAAGAUGGCCGCCGCUGACCUCAUUUCUCUGCUGUUGCCAUGACGACGACUCAAACACUUUGUUUUACUGCUGCCAAAAUUUUUAAAUAAAUCUGACUUUUUCUGUAAUCGAGUCUUUCAUGUGUUUUAUAGAUUGGUAGUUUGAUCAUUCUGCUUUGCAAUUUUAAACAAUGCAAUUUUAUUAUUUUUAUACUUUAUAUUUGACACACUGAACAUUUAAUUCUGGUCUUUCAUCUGUGUUUUGAUAAGUUCUGAACUUUGAGAUUCGUUCCAACAGAAAUGAUUUUUAACUCUUUGGAUUAUUUUGAAUGAAGCAGCUGUAAAAUAAAGUUCUGCAGAGUUUCUUGUGUUUUAGAACAAGAAGUUGUUUGUUUUCUAUGUAUUUUAAUCAUUUAGACUCGGUUCUUUUCAUAAAGUGCUUUUCCAUCAAGUAUUUAUAUUUUCAGUAAACAUUUAGUUGUGAAUGUAGAACAGACAUUCUCAUGUUUAAUAAAGUUUCUCUGACUGUGAAUCACAAUGGCGAGACGAAAAAUAAAGAAUUUAAAAAGUG